UUGUUACGGACUGGUUGUCUUCCCUGGGGCCGUGCCGGCUGGCUCAUCGGUACUCAGGUGGAGUUCCAUACCUGGCCCGCAGUCCGCACAAUCGAUAAUUUCACCGAUAUUAACAGCUGUUUAUAACAGAAGAAAAAACGCAUCACUAACAGAAAAACAUAACAGCUGCCGCGCAAUUGAAAAUUGCGCGAAAACAAAAGGAAAUUCAAAUCAAACUAUUGACGACGAUAAGUACAAAGAAAAAACAAUAAUAAACAUACUCACUGAUCCAUUUUAUGUUUGAACAGGGUCACAGCUGGACCCCGGCGUACCCACCCUGCCUGAGAUGGCCACAUCGACGCCAUCUCCCUUUGCGUUGGCCACUAUAUCAGUGGCUGCUCCUCAUCCGGCGUAGUGCUGUGGAAUUCCCUUCCCCUCCAUGCUGAGAAACAUACACAACCAUGUUCAACAUAACAUACAAUUAUUUGGACUUUAAAACGGCAAAGGAACAAGAUUCAUAAACCACGCAGUAGGACGAGCGAAAC